GUUUAUAGCGUGUAUCUGCUGUAAAUAUGGUUAGACAUCAUUUUUGUGGGCUGUAGGUGGGCAUGAAGUUAGCAUGAGAUUGCCCAUCAAGAUACUACAUACAUGG